GCAGGAGAUGAACUCAGAGAUGUUACAUACUCUGUCAUUGAAAUAAAAUCCUCUAAGAAAGAGAGUAGACAUCAUAGACCACCAGAGGAGGGCGCUGUUUACUCUGAAGGGAAAACAGGAGCUGCAGGAAAGUCAAGUCCAGCAGCAGAGGAUGCAGCAGUUUAUUCUGAGAUCAGAUCAGUACCAGCUCUGGAGGACAAUGCUGACAUGUAGGCUGGAGGCUCUGGUGGAUUUUUUUUCCCCUCUAAU